rnacentral:misc_RNA from 1 species
AGAUACAGAGUUAUCUCCCUUCUCGGGAGGUGGGAUUGAUUCCGGUAUUCAUCGUACAGCUCUUUACUUCUUGUUAAAUGAUGAAUUAUGAACAAGUUACUACGUGCAGAUAUAUUUGUCGUCAUCCUGUCAAUUAUCAGCAAUAGUGCGUAUGCAGGUUUAUCCAAGCCGAAUGUUCUGUUCAUUGCCGUUGAUGAUUUGCGACCAUCACUAGGUUGCUAUGGCAACAGUUUGAUGGUCACGCCUAACAUUGACAACCUGGCCAGUAAAUCAGUGUUGUUUAAUAACACGUUUGUACAGCAAGCUCUUUGUGGACCUAGCAGGACAUCAUUUUUGACCAGCCGACGACCUGACACAACCCGCCUGUACGACUUCUACUCCUACUGGCGUAAGGCAGCCGGCAACUUCACAACACUGCCGCAGCACUUCAAGCAGAAUGGCUACUUCACACAGUCUGUCGGCAAAGUGUUCCAUCCAGGUGUGUCAUCCGGCCACACCGACGACUACCCCUACAGCUGGUCCGUCCCCGCCUACCACCCCCCAACACAGGCAUACAAGAUGGCCAAGGUAUGUCCCGGACCCAAGGGGAAUGUGUACAUGGACAUCGUGUGUCCAGUGACGGUCAAGGACCAGCCUGGAGGAUCACUGCCGGACAUACAGAGUCGCGAAUUUGCUGUCAACUUUCUCAAGAACAUGUCAGCCAAUCACAGCCAGCCUUUCUUCCUGGCCGUGGGCUUCCACAAACCCCACAUACCGCUCAAGUACCCUAAGGAAUAUAGGGAUCUGUACCCUCUGAACAAGAUCCAGCUGGCCCGCCAUCACACAUUUCCCCUGCGGCUCCCCCUGGUGGCCUGGAACCCAUGGACGGACCUGAGGGAGAGGGACGACAUUCAGAGUCUCAACCUCAGCUUCCCGUUCGGACCAGUCACCGAGGAGUAUCAGCUGUUGAUGCGGCAGAGCUACUACGCGGCCACCAGCUACAUGGACAGCCAGGUGGGGCUGCUGCUUGAGGCUCUACACACACACGGCUUCUCCAACAACACCAUCGUGGUUCUAGUCGGAGACCAUGGUUGGUCCCUGGGAGAGCAUCAGGAAUGGUCCAAGUACAGUACCUUUGAGGUAUCGGUCCGUGUGCCACUCAUUAUCCAUGUUCCAGGGCUCACGGACAAAGACACAGACACAGACACCACCUUCCAGUACCAAGAUCCUUUAAAACAGGUCCACAAUAAUGAAAAUUACAACAGAUCAAAUCUUGUACAAACUCAACGUAAAAAAAUUGAUUCACAGAAAAAAAAUUAUGUCAAGGAAUAUUAUGUCAUCAGAUCUAAAGAUUUUUCACAACAGAAAUACAAAGUUUCAAACGACCUGAUAGAGUUAGUGGACCUGUUUCCGACAAUAUCGGAAUUGGCAGGACUGGAGGUGCCAUCAACAUGUCCGCCAAAUCCUUUCAAGAUUGACCUCUGUACUGAAGGAGCUAGUGCAGCAAAGAUCAUCCACAAUAUAAGUCACACUGAUUCAUCCAGACAGAAAACUCAACUGACAUGGAAGAGUGCUGUGUUUAGUCAGUACCCUCGUCCGUCAGUGGAGCCCCAAGAGAACAGCGACAAGCCCCACCUGAAGGACAUACGUAUCAUGGGGUACACGAUGAGGACGCAGCAGUAUCGAUACACUGAGUGGGUCCAGUUUGAUCCCGGGACGUUCCACAUGAACUGGUCUCGUGUGUAUGGGACAGAGCUGUACCUACGGGACUCCGACCCAGAUGAGGCUGAAAACAUGGCCUACUUUCCCUCGUAUGCCGAGCUGAGAUCAAGUCUGUCUCGGGUUCUUCAUGAAGGGUGGAGGAGUGUGUUACCAACAUGAUAUUGUUUGCAUUAUUUUGUUAUUUAUGAAUUAUGAAAUUUGCAAAAAAUAUUGUCUUUGCUAAAAUUAUGAAAUUUAUUGAACACUAGUUAAAAUAAAUCUGAUGUUGAGCAGGGCUUCUGCUCUACAGUUCUUAGAACUGGGACUGUUUUAAGUCUUAAUUAAGUAUGGGAUCACUAAGAUUGCUUGGUUGAAUUGGGCUUGUUACAAUAAAGUCUUAGUUAAGUAUGGGAUCACUAAGAUUGCUUGGUUGAAUGGGGCUUGUUACAAUAAUGUCUUAGUUAAGUAUGGGAUCGCUAAGAUUGCUUGGUUGAUAGGGUUUUGUUACAAUAAAGUCUUAGUAAAGUUUGGGAUCUCUAAGAUUUUAAAACACUCACUCAUUUAUCACCAUUCUCCUGAUUGGCUAGAAAUGCACCAAACCAUCAUUUGUCUCAUUUGUGACCCAUUUUGUUGAUUUAUAUACAUAUAAUCAUUAGUCCCAAUUUCUAGUUAUUUAUCGUUUGUCACCCUUCACCUCAUUGGCUUGGAAUGUACCAAACCAUCAUUUGUCACCUUUCACCUGAUUGGCUAGAAUGUACCAAACACCACAGUACAGUGGACAUUCACAUAAAUGCCUGUUAUUCUGAAUUAUGUAUUUAUUUAUUUAAGAAUGAUAAUGCUUGCAAUAAUUGUAUUGUUUUUAUCGAUUUAUAUACUUGAAUUCAAUCAUUAGUUUCUAAUUUCUAGUAAACUACGGUUAUAAUGAGCUCAAAGGGGCCACUAAUUUUUAUUCGUUAUACCCGUAGUUCAUUAUAAGCAUAUGUACUGCUAAGGGAUGGGACCAAAAAACAGUUUGUUAUAGCCAUCAGUUCGUUAUAAGCAUCUUUGUUAUAAUCAUAGUUUACUGUAUUUAUGAACACAGUUAAUUAUUGACACCAUCUAACCAUGACAUGUUUUGGAUUUUAUCUGCCUAUGAAAUAGGUCUGUGGUUUCUCUGAAACUAACUUACCCAGCUCUGAGAAAAAUGAACAAUCAUAUUUUUAUGAGAUUGUGAUAUCCAAUUGGCAAUAUGGAAUACCUUCAAUAUAUAUAUUAUCUUGCAUUUAAACCUUCUACCUGAUCAACUAUUUCUGUAUUUUAUGAAAUAAACUUUUCUCUGAAA